rnacentral:rRNA from 1 species
GUCUACAGCCAUGCCACCCUGAACACACCCAAUCCCGUCUGAUCUUGGAAGCCAAGCUGGGUCAGGCCUGGUUAGUACUUGGAUGGGAGACUACCUAAAAAAGACGGGAUGUUGUAGGUG